UACAGAGGGGGCAAGCGUUGUUCGGAAUUACUGGGCGUAAAGGGCGCGUAGGCGGCCUGUUAAGUCGAACGUGAAAUCCCCGGGCUCAACCCGGGAACUGCAUCCGAUACUGGCUGGCUUGAAUCCGGGAGAGGGAUGCGGAAUUCCAGGUGUAGCGGUGAAAUGCGUAGAUAUCUGGAGGAACACCGGUGGCGAAGGCGGCGUUCUGGACUGCAACUGACACUGAGAAACGAAAGCCAGGGGAGCAAACGGG
rnacentral:rRNA from 1 species